rnacentral:rRNA from 1 species
AUACGUAGGUGACAAGCGUUAUCCGGAUUUACUGGGCGUAAAGGGCGUGUAGGCGGUCUUGCAAGUCAGAAGUGAAAUUCCUGAGCUCAACUCGGGCGCUGCUUCUGAAACUGCAGGACUUGAGUGCUGGAGGGGAUAGCGGAAUUCCUAGUGGAGCGGUAAAAUGCGCAGAUAUUAGGAAGAACACCGGUGGCGAAGGCGGCUAUCUGGACAGUAACUGACGCUGAGGCGCGAAAGCGUGGGGAGCAAACAGGAUUAGAUCCCCUGGUAGUCCACGCCGUAAACGAUGAAUACUAGGUGUAGGAGGUAUCGACUCCUCCUGUGCCGCAGCUAACGCAAUAAGUAUUCCACCUGGGGAGUACGGCCGCAAGGUUGAAACUCAAAUGAAUUGACGGGG